rnacentral:rRNA from 1 species
AUUGAACGCUGGCGGCAUGCCUUACACAUGCCAGUCGAACGGCAGCACGGGUGCUUGCACCUGGUGGCGAGUGGCGAACGGGUGAGUAAUACAUCGGAACAUGUCCUGUAGUGGGGGAUAGCCCGGCGAAAGCCGGAUUAAUACCGCAUACGAUCUACGGAUGAAAGCGGGGGACCUUCGGGCCUCGCGCUAUAGGGUUGGCCGAUGGCGGAUUAGCUAGUUGGUGGGGUAAAGGCCUACCAAGGCGACGAUCAGUAGCUGGUCUGAGAGUACGACCAGCCACACUGGGACUGAGACACGGCCCAGACUCCUACGGGGGGCAGCAGUGGGGAAUUUUGGACAAUGGGCGAAAGCCUGAUCCAGCAAUGCCGCGUGUGUGAAGAAGGCCUUCGGGUUGUAAAACACUUUUGUCCGGAAAGAAAUCUUUGGCCCUAAUACGGUCGGGGGAUGACGGUACCGGAAGAAUAAGCACCGGCUAACUACGUG